UGUGUGGAGGGCUGGGAAGUCGAGGCUGGUGUCACAAGUACGUGUGGCGAAGACUGCAGCUGAGAGAAUAGCUUUAAAACCGAGCAACAUCCCAUCCCUUCAACUGUGGAACACUUGGGUUAAGAGUAAGACUACCAAAUCUUUCACAGAAACGAGUAACAAGUACAGAGCGAUGAGAAGAAAUCAGAUUCCUCACACCACCAGCCGCAAAGGAAUGCUUCGUUUAGCUGAUGAUAUG